rnacentral:lncRNA from 1 species
AACGGACUAAUGAAAAAAGGAGGAAAAAAAUGCGCGGGUCACAAAGCAAAAAAGGGGGGAAGAAAUACGCGGGUCACUCACAAAGAGCCGGGUAAAAAACCCAAUUUAUUUCCUCUCUCUUAAAAUUGCCGAAUUCUCCGAACCAAAUUUCUUCCCUCUCUUCAGACUUCCAAUUGCCGAGCUCAGAACAACUCUGUAAAUCUGUAAAUUUCGUAUAUACAUACAGAUUCUCUCUCCCCAUUUGAAGACCCUCUCUCUCUCACACUUCCAAGGAGCAGACAAAGCAAACCCCUUUCCCUCAUCCGAUUCGGUUGAAAGGAGCGAAGUUGUGUUCGAUUUCUUCCCCUGCCACUGACCCGAAUCAGUUCAAGCAAUCCUAGAUAUUCGCGGUACUUCCUUUCCUCUGGUAAGCUUUUCUUAUUUGUUAGUCUUGUCUAUAGAAACCGUAAUUUUAUAAGUUGUGUUGUAAAAAUCAUGAAUGUGAAUUGUUUGAGACAUGUAAAGGCUUCAGAUUUCUUCAAUUCACCACAUGACCUAGAUAAGUUUUGUCUUAAUUUAUGGGUAUCUUGUCAAAAAUGUAAUCUAUGGAGUUAUGUUAUGCGAAUUGCACUAGUUAUGUUCUGCGAAUUGGGUUUGACAAAAUAACCCUCAGUUAAUCUAUGGAGUUAUGGAUUUCUGAUUAUUGGAUGAAACAACUUUCGUGUUUUAGUAAUUUGGGUCUUUUUUUUCAUUUGGUUUUCAAGGAUUAUUCCCCCCUUCCUUUUGAGCAUGUUUGUUUUGUGUGCUUUAAUAGUGAAGUCUUUAGGAGUAAAAUGGAGAAGAGCAUAACGCUGAUAAAUCGAACAAAGGAUGAACUUGCCAUACAAAAGCUGCAAUGCACAUUUUUCCUUUGAAAUUUCUUUAAACCAAUAGUUUGUUUUUCUUUUGGCCUUGGUGAGUGUUGUUUGUCUUUUUAUAUGCACAAUUUGGUGGUUGCCUCAUUUAAUAUUUAUUCAUGUGGGUUUAAUGAGAAACAAGUACCUGAAUGUGACAUCAUUUUAUUAGGAUGUGAAUGAGUGAUGCUAAUUCGACUUGUAACUUGCUGCAACAAAGUGGUGCUAAUGUAUAACAUUCCAUAUAUCAGUAACUCCGUUUGAGCAGCUAUGAACGCACAUUGUGAUUGUGAGAGGCGACCGCAACUUAAAACAACAUGGACCGAUUCAAACCAGGAAGAAGGUUUUUAUCAUGUCCGAAUUAUGGAAAAGUAAGUGUGUUAGGGUUUCAAUUUUUUUAUAUAUCUAUUCCAUUCUAUUUACUUGCACAUAAAAUUGAAAUCUUCUUUGUUUACAGAGGAAUGCUUGUCAAUUUUUUGCUUGGUAUGAUCCUUCAAUGUGUGACAGAUCAAGACAAAUAAUCCCCGGAUUACUUCGAAAGAUUAACGAAAUGGAGCAAGAGAUGGAGAAAGUGUGUGCAAUAGGCAAAUUGAUUUUAAUCAUGUUAUUGUAGAUGGAGUAAAUAUUGUAAUUUGGGUUAACUUCUAGAAUCUGUAAGGAUUGUUUUCUUUGUGUUGUUAGAAGUGGUGAUAUUAGCAUUAACAUCAAUUCUCCGCUCACAUAAGGUUGUUUUGUCUAUGUAACAAAUGUCUCAUUUCCUAUAAGGUUGUUAUUAAUGAGUAAAAGUUUAAUGUUGAUGAACUUUGUGAAAUUUUUUGAAGCUUAUUGUCGGGCUUCUGGUGUUGUUUGUGACUUAAUAUACUUGUGAUUUAUUUGUUGCACUCAAGUUUUCAUCAAUACUAAUGGAAAAGUGCCAAUAUUAAUUUGGGAACUUUUUAGUAAAUAUUCUGGCAUCAAGUAUCUUGAUUUAUUUUCUGUCUAUUUUCCCUUCUAGUCUAAAGAAAAGGGCGAGAGGGAGGAUAGGGACAUGUUGAAAUAAUUUUAUAUUCCACAAUUUUAUACAAAUGUUAUCAUGUUAAAGUGUCUCUCGCUUUGAUCCUGUUUGUUUGCAUGAUUUGUUCUUAUAAUGUUGCUCAAAGAU